AACGAACGCUGGCGGCAUGCCUAACACAUGCAAGUCGAACGAGACCUUCGGGUCUAGUGGCGCACGGGUGCGUAACGCGUGGGAACCUGCCCUUAGGUUCGGAAUAACUCCCCGAAAGGGGUGCUAAUACCGGAUAAUGUCUUCGGACCAAAGAUUUAUCGCCUUUGGAUGGGCCCGCGUUGGAUUAGCUAGUUGGUAGGGUAAAAGCCUACCAAGGCGACGAUCCAUAGAUGGUCUGAGAGGAUGAUCAGCCACACUGGGACUGAGACACGGCCCAGACUACUACGGGAGGCAGCAGUGGGGAAUAUUGGCCAAUGGGCGAAAGCCUGAUCCAGCAAUGCUGCGUGAGUGAUGAAGGCCUUAGGGUUGUAAAGCUCUUUUACCCGGGAUGAUAAUGACAGUACCGGGAGAAUAAGCUCCGGCUAACUCCGUG
rnacentral:rRNA from 1 species